CGAAAUGCGAUAAGUAAUGUGAAUUNCAGAAUUCAGUGAAUCAUCGAAUCUUUGAACGCACAUUGCG
rnacentral:rRNA from 1 species